UUGAAUAUGAACCCCAAGGGAGAUAUCAUCCAGGGGGUUGAAUAUGAACCCCAAGGGAGAUAUCAUCCAGGGGGUGGAAUAUGAACCCCAAGGGAGAUAUCAUCCAGAGGGUUGAAUAUGAACCCCAAGGGAGAUAUCAUCCAGGGGGUUGAAUAUGAACCCCAAGGGAGAUAUCAUCCAGGGGGUUGGUAGACAUCAUCCAGAGGGUUGAAUAUGAACCCCAAGGGAGAUAUCAUCCAGGGGGUUGGUAGACAUCAUCCAGAGGGUUGAAUAUGAACCCCAAGGGAGAUAUCAUCCAGGGGGUUGGUAGACAUCAUCCAGGGGGUUGAAUAUGAACCCCAAGGGAGAUAUCAUCCAGGGGGUUGAAUAUGAACCCC